rnacentral:rRNA from 1 species
AUGAACGCUAGCUACAGGCUUAACACAUGCAAGUCGAGGGGCAGCAUGGUCUUAGCUUGCUAAGGCCGAUGGCGACCGGCGCACGGGUGAGUAACACGUAUCCAACCUGCCGUCUACUCUUGGACAGCCUUCUGAAAGGAAGAUUAAUACAAGAUGGCAUCAUGAGUCCGCAUGUUCACAUGAUUAAAGGUAUUCCGGUAGACGAUGGGGAUGCGUUCCAUUAGAUAGUAGGCGGGGUAACGGCCCACCUAGUCUUCGAUGGGUAGGGGUUCUGAGAGGAAGGUCCCCCACAUUGGAACUGAGACACGGUCCAAACUCCUACGGGAGGCAGCAGUGAGGAAUAUUGGUCAAUGGGCGAGAGCCUGAACCAGCCAAGUAGCGUGAAGGAUGACUGCCCUAUGGGUUGUAAACUUCUUUUAUAAAGGAAUAAAGUCGGGUAUGGAUGCCCGUUUGCAUGUACUUUAUGAAUAAGGAUCGGCUAACUCCGUGCCAGCAGCCGCGGUAAUACGGAGGAUCCGAGCGUUAUCCGGAUUUAUUGGGUUUAAAGGGAGCGUAGAUGGAUGUUUAAGUCAGUUGUGAAAGUUUGCGGCUCAACCGUAAAAUUGCAGUUGAUACUGGAUAUCUUGAGUGCAGUUGAGGCAGGCGGAAUUCGUGGUGUAGCGGUGAAAUGCUUAGAUAUCACGAAGAACUCCGAUUGCGAAGGCAGCCUGCUAAGCUGCAACUGACAUUGAGGCUCGAAAGUGUGGGUAUCAAACAGGAUUAGAUACCCUGGUAGUCCACACGGUAAACGAUGAAUAUUAGCUGUUUGCGAUAUACAGCAAGCGGCCAAGCGAAAGCGUUAAGUAUUCCACCUGGGGAGUACGCCGGCAACGGUGAAACUCAAAGGAAUUGACGGGGGCCCGCACAAGCGGAGGAACAUGUGGUUUAAUUCGAUGAUACGCGAGGAACCUUACCCGGGCUUAAAUUGCAGAUGAAUUACGGUGAAAGCCGUAAGCCGCAAGGCAUCUGUGAAGGUGCUGCAUGGUUGUCGUCAGCUCGUGCCGUGAGGUGUCGGCUUAAGUGCCAUAACGAGCGCAACCCUUGUUGUCAGUUACUAACAGGUUCCGCUGAGGACUCUGACAAGACUGCCAUCGUAAGAUGUGAGGAAGGUGGGGAUGACGUCAAAUCAGCACGGCCCUUACGUCCGGGGCUACACACGUGUUACAAUGGGGGGUACAGAGGGCCGCUACCACGCGAGUGGAUGCCAAUCCCCAAAACCUCUCUCAGUUCGGACUGGAGUCUGCAACCCGACUCCACGAAGCUGGAUUCGCUAGUAAUCGCGCAUCAGCCACGGCGCGGUGAAUACGUUCCCGGGCCUUGUACACACCGCCCGUCAAGCCAUGGGAGCCGGGGGUACCUGAAGUGCGUAACCGCGAGGAGCGCCCUAGGGUAAAACUGGUGACUGGGGCU